AUGGACCACUCGCUCAUGCCGGUUCCGAGCGCGUCGUCCACACCCGUCUGACGGCUGCGCGCGAGAUGCUGUUCGCC
rnacentral:sRNA from 1 species